ACUCCUACGGGAGGCAGCAGUAGGGAAUCUUCCACAAUGGGCGCAAGCCUGAUGGAGCAACACCGCGUGAGUGAAGAAGGGUUUCGGCUCGUAAAGCUCUGUUGUUAAAGAAGAACACGUAUGAGAGUAACUGUUCAUACGUUGACGGUAUUUAACCAGAAAGUCACGGCUAACUGCGUGCCAGCAGCCGCGGUAAUACGUAGGUGGCAAGCGUUAUCCGGAUUUAUUGGGGCGUAAAGAAAGUGCAGGCGGUUUUCUAAGUCUGAUGUGAAAGCCUUCGGCUUAACCGGAGAAGUGCAUCGGAAACUGGAUAACUUGAGUGCAGAAGAGGGUAGUGGAACUCCAUGUGUAGCGGUGGAAUGCGUAGAUAUAUGGAAGAACACCAGUGGCGAAGGCGGCUACCUGGUCUGCAACUGACGCUGAGACUCGAAAGCAUGGGUAGCGAACAGGAUUAGAUACCCUGGUAGGAUAGCG
rnacentral:rRNA from 1 species